AUUGAACGCUGGCGGCAGGCCUAACACAUGCAAGUCGAACGAGUGGCGGACGGGUGAGUAAUGUCUGGGAAACUGCCUGAUGGAGGGGGAUCACUACUGGAAACGGUAGCUAAUACCGCAUACCAUCAGAUGUGCCCAGAUGGGAUUAGCUUGUGGGUGGGGUAACGGCUCACCAAGGCGAGGAUCCCUAGCUGGUCUGAGAGGAUGACCAGCCACACGGGAACUGAGACACGGUCCAGACUCCUACGGGAGGAAGAAUUGGGGAAUAUUGGACAAUGGGGGAAAGCCUGAGGCAGCAAUGCCGCGUGUAUGAAGCGGGCCUUGGGGUUGUAAAGUCCUUUCAGCGGGGCGGCGGUACCCGCAGAAGAAGCACCGGCUAACUCCGUGCCAGCAGCCGCGGUAAUAC
rnacentral:rRNA from 1 species